rnacentral:snoRNA from 1 species
GAGCGAUGAUGUGAAAGAUCCAAACCUGAAGCGUGUUUGUUUAACAACACAUUUAAUGAGGGUUUCUACACUUGAACUGAGCUCA